rnacentral:misc_RNA from 1 species
UCCCCGUUACCAAGGCAGUCUGGUUAGAAAAAUACAACUAACCAUGAGGGUUGCGCUCGUUUAAGGACUUAACCUAACAUCUCACGACACGAGCUGACGACGACCAUGCAUCACCUGUCACUCGUCCAACUAAAUGACCUCUAUGUUUCCAUAAAGUACGACAAGGAUGUCAAGUCUGGGUAAGGUUCUUCGCGUAGCCUCGAAUUAAACCACACGCUCCACCGCUUGUGCGGGUCCCCGUCAAUUCCUUUGAGUUUUAGCCUUGCGGCCGUACUCCCCAGGCGGGAUACUUAACGCGUUAGCUUCGCUACCGAGCGGGUCGAUACGCCCAACAGCUAGUAUCCAUCGUUUACGGCGUGGACUAC